rnacentral:piRNA from 1 species
UGUGAAUGCUGAGAGCUGUUUAUGGGC